AAUCAACGCUGGCGGCAGGCCUAACACAUGCAAGUCGAACGCUCCGCAAGGGGAGUGGCGCACGGGUGAGUAACACGUGGGAACCUACCUUCUGGUACGGAACAACCAAGGGAAACUCUGGCUGAUACCGUAUACGACCUCCGGGUGAAAGAUUGAUCGCCGGAAGAGGGGCCCCGCGUCCGAUUAGGUAGUUGGUGAGGUAACGGCUCACCAAGCCUGCGAUCGGUAGCUGGUCUGAGAGGAUGACCAGCCACACUGGGACUGAGACACGGCCCAGACUCCUACGGGAGGCAGCAGUGGGGAAUAUUGGACAAUGGGCGCAAGCCUGAUCCAGCCAUGCCGCGUGAGUGAUGAAGGCCUUCGGUU
rnacentral:rRNA from 1 species